rnacentral:rRNA from 1 species
CAGCCGUAAACUAUGCGCGUUAGGUGUAUCGGUGACCACGAGUCACCGAGGUGCCGAAGGGAAACCGUGAAACGUGCCGCCUGGGAAGUACGGUCGCAAGGCUGAAACUUAAAGGAAUUGGGCGGGGGGAGGCACCGCAACGGGAGGAGCGUGCGGUUUAAUUGGAUUCAACGCCGAAAAACUACACCAGCAGCGACUGUUACAUGAAAGUCAGGUUGAUGACCUUACUAGAUUUUCAGAGAGGAGGUGCAUGGCGUAGACGUCU